AACAAACGCUGGCGGCGUGCCUAACACAUGCAAGUCGUACGAGAAAGGGUCCUUCGGGACCUGAGUAAAGUGGCGCACGGGUGAGUAACGCGUGGAUAAUCUGCCCUUCAGUUGGGAACAACUCAUCGAAAGGUGGGCUAAUACCGAAUAACACUGUGAGACUUUGGUCGAGCAGUCAAAGAGAGCCUCUGCUUGCAAGCCCUCGCUGAAGGAUGAGUCCGCGUACCAUUAGCUAGUUGGCAGGGUAAUGGCCUACCAAGGCGACGAUGGUUAGCUGGUCUGAGAGGAUGAUCAGCCACACUGGAACUGAGAUACGGUCCAGACUCCUACGGGAGGCAGCAGCGAGGAAUCUUGCGCAAUGGGGGAAACCCUGACGCAGCAACGCCGCGUGAGUGAGGAAGGUCUUCGGAUCGUAAAGCUCUUUCGGCCGGGAAGAAAUCGCAUGGGUUAAUACCCUGUGUGGAUGACGGUACCGGAAUAAGAAGCACCGGCUAACUACGUGCCAGCAGCCGCCGUAA
rnacentral:rRNA from 1 species